GACGAACGCUGGCGGCGUGCUUAACACAUGCAAGUCGAACGGAAAGGCCCAGCUUUUGUGGGGUGCUCGAGUGGCGAACGGGUGAGUAACACGUGAGUAACCUGCCCUUGACUUUGGGAUAACUUCAGGAAACUGGGGCUAAUACCGGAUAGGAGCUCCUGCUGCAUGGUGGGGGUUGGAAAGUUUCGGCGGUUGGGGAUGGACUCGCGGCUUAUCAGCUUGUUGGUGGGGUAGUGGCUUACCAAGGCUUUGACGGGUAGCCGGCCUGAGAGGGUGACAGGCCACAUUGGGACUGAGAUACGGCCCAGACUCCUACGGGAGGCAGCAGUGGGGAAUAUUGCACAAUGGGCGGAAGCCUGAUGCAGCAACGCCGCGUGCGGGAUGACGGCCUUCGGGUUGUAAACCGCUUUCGCCUGUGACGAAGCGUGAGUGACGGUAAUGGGUAAAGAAGCACCGGCUAACUACGUG
rnacentral:rRNA from 1 species